rnacentral:lncRNA from 1 species
AAAGGACAUGAACCAUUUUGGCUGGUUUGCAAUGACAUUUCAAGAACAGGAUUGUCUGUGAAAGACCGGUUCCACAAAGACAAGGUCCCUGAGUGACGUGGCAGGCAACAGAAGAACAAGAGUCAAGUUUUGAUGAAUAACAGAGAAAGCAGAACGUACCCAUAGGGCAGCACUGAAGUCCAACAGUGGAAGAACAGCAUGACAUGGACCACAGCCCUGUGACAUUACAAGCGUGUAUUACAGCUGCCAGAUGGGCUCAGCUGACUCAUGCUCAGGAUCACUCCGACCAGCAGAUGUGAGGGAAGGAUGGAAUUUUGCCCAUGGUGUUAUUUUCUGCUUUCUUUCUGUACAACAGGAAAUAAUUUGCCUGCUGAAUGGGUCCAGUGUAUCUUUCCACGUCCAUUUCUUGACAAAUGAAGGACUCUCAGGCACCAGCAGCACCCCCAUGUUCUUUGCUUACGGUCACUACCAACCUGAAGAACCAGUCUUUUACAUCCUCUUAACAUUAUAGAAACAACAACAAAAGCCCUAAACUUUAAGUCUUUGCGCCAGCCCUAAAGCACACAGGCAUAACACAAGACCUAUGAUAGCCAAGAAGUCAGGCUCCAGCUACAGUUCUAAGAAGCACUGAGCUAUUUUUAACUCUUUAUUAUAAAGCCCUAUGGGGAUAGAUUCAUAGCGUUAUUUAUUAUCAUUAUUUUUAUUGUUAUUGGGAGAACACUAUUUUAAGGGAAAAAAGAAGCAUGACAAAUGAAGACCACGAUUUCUUAGGAUACCAGAAGUUCCCACUUCUUUAUGUAUCCUGUAAAUUAGUGCUCAUUUUCCGACAGAGGAAAAAAAACAACAACAAAAAAACUGGGG